rnacentral:rRNA from 1 species
UACGAAGGGGGCUAGCGUUGCUCGGAAUCACUGGGCGUAAAGCGCACGUAGGCGGAUUGUUAAGUCAGGGGUGAAAUCCUGGAGCUCAACUCCAGAACUGCCUUUGAUACUGGCGAUCUCGAGUCCGGGAGAGGUGAGUGGAACUGCGAGUGUAGAGGUGAAAUUCGUAGAUAUUGGGAGGAACACCAGUGGCGAAGGCGGCUCACUGGACCGGUACUGACGCUGAUGCGCGAAAGCGUGGGGAGCAAACAGGG